CCUACGGGAGGCAGCAGUGAGGAAUAUUGGUCAAUGGGCGGGAGCCUGAACCAGCCAAGUCGCGUGAGGGAAGACGUUCCUAUGGAUUGUAAACCUCUUUAGGCGGGGAGCAAUGCCGGGCACGUGUGCACGGAGGGAGAGUACCCGCAGUAUAAGCAUCGGCAAACUCCGGGCCAGCGGCCGCGGUAAUACGGGGGAUGCGAGCGUUAGCCGGCUUUAUUGGGUUAAAAGGGUGCGUAGGCGCAUUUUUAAGUCAGCGGUAAAAUGUCCGGGCUAAACCUGGGCCGGCCGUUGAAACUGGGGAUCUAGAGUGGGCGAGAAGUAUGCGGAAUUCGUGGUGUAGCGGUGAAAUGCAUAGAUAUCAGGAAGAACUCCGAUUGCGAAGGCAGCAUACCGGCGUCCGACUGACGCUGAGGCACGAAAGCGUGGGGAUCGAACAGGAUUAGAUACCCCAGUAGUC
rnacentral:rRNA from 1 species